GGGGUCAGGUAGAGGAGACUGGUUUCAUUUGUGCCACAGCAUGGUCAUUGCAGCCUUGUGCUCCCCCAGGCUUGCAGCCACCUGGGGCCCAAGUCGCAGUGAGCAGGGUGAGGUCUGGGAGGUGGGGAGACACAGGAAUGGGUCAUAUAGGAGCAGCUCUUGGACUGAGCACAGCAAUGGAGAGCCAGCAAUGGGCAGCUCUCCCAGGGAGUGAGCAGCUACUGUAACUUUUUUAAAUUAAGACAAAAAGCCUUGAAGAAAAUGACUUUAUUUUUCUAAGUGUAACCUCAGUAUUUAUGUAAUUUGUACAGGGCCAUGCCCUACCCCCCUUAGAACCCGCUUGGGGACCUUGAGGGUGGGCUAGCAUAGGGGGAGGGUGUUUUACCCUGUGUCAGAGCCAGCCUAAACCACCUGCAUCCAGUAAAGGAGUUUUCUCAGAAUGGCAGUUGGGGUGGAGUGUCUCAUUAAGCCCUUGCUACUGCCCUCAGUAGGCACAGCCUGCUUCUGCGGUUAGGUUGAGGGGUGGGGAGGGAUUUUGUACUGCCUAGGUAUUUUGGGGACGAUCUGCUGAUGGGUUUGAGACCCCCCCCCCAACCUCACAUGCCACCAUUCUGGGCUUUCUCCUAGAAAUAACUGGGGCCUUGGGUAGCUUUCAAGACUGGGGCUUGGUAAAUCAGGGGCCAGAGUGGGGGAGCCUGGGACUCAGGUCUGUAACUGCCCAGCCCAUUGCUCUGCUCUUGCUUCACUCCACUGCCACUCACUACCACUCCCCCAACACAUGGGAGAGAUGUUAAUUCCUCCCCACAAAAGAUAGAUCCAGUGAGUGAAUCAGGCAAAGUGCUUAUAAUGUGUGCUGUGUGACUGUGGCCUUGGGAGACCCUGCUUGUCAGGAUUGAGGUGACAUUUCUAUGUGCAGCGACCCUUGGUGUUUCCUUCCUAAGUGGCUCUGGGGUGUGUGUAUGCUUGUAUUUGAGUGAGUGUCUAUGUGUGAAUGUGGGGUGUAUGUGGGUAUAUCAGUGGUUUCUACUUCUCCUGGGAUGUUGACCCAGGAAUAGUGGACAUGGUCACAUCCUAUGUACAGAGCUUUCUUUUGUAUUAAAAAAAAA
rnacentral:lncRNA from 1 species